rnacentral:lncRNA from 1 species
GCAAUCUUAGUAUUUUUUCUAUUACAAAUAUUAAACUGAAAUCUUACAAUUUAUAUAAAAUCUUUACAAGCUAUACACUUUUUCAAUCUUCUCAAACAGCAUUAAACCAAUAACUUUUCAAGUUGCCACAGAGAUCAGUUACAACAAAAUAACACAUUGCUACUGUAACAAAAACAUAUUUCCAAAAAAGGUAUGUAAGCUACUUUAAAGGCAGUUGUGUUUAAUCUGAAUAUGAACAGUAGCUCUGUUUUUUUUAAUUGUGAUGUUACUCUGUUUAUCUUUAAACCAUCAGAAUUCACACUUUAUUUAAAAUAAACAGUAGUUGGGGGUGGGGUGGGGAGGGCACUUGUAUUUUCUGCCUUCCUGUAUGUAAGUGAAACAGAGCUGAGCCUGGAGGAAUAAAGGCGAGUGCUUCUCAUUUAAAUUAGCCAUGACAAAAUAAAUGUCAAUACCAGUGUUUGCUAACAUGACUUUUAAACAGCACUUAGUACUUUAAUUUUAUCGUAUUUCCUAGCAUAAAGCAGCUUGAAAAUUAAUACAGAUGUGAGGUUUGUUCAGUAGCUUUGUCACUUUUAGCAGUAUCCCUGCAUUCAGUUUCUGCUAUUACUCCGGUGCAGCAGAGAGGAAGUCCCAGCAGAGAGGCAGGCUUACCACUAAGAAAAGAAGUUAAAAAAAAAAAAAGGGGGGGAGGGAGAAAACUAUAAUAAGGGGCUUUGGGCAAACAGGGAACCUGAAGAAUCUUUGAGAGCUCUGAAAUUCUUCAGGUAUCAACUGACCUCUUUGAAGCAGGAAGUCUUCAGCAUACAUGAAGUACCAUGCAUGUGUUCUGUAGGACAUUUCUGCAAACAGAUCCCUUUUAAGUUGUUCAGAUUGUUUGUAGGAACAAGAUGACAGCACAGCAGAACAUUAAGUUAGCGUUUAAGGCUGUACAGAUCUAUGGUCAUAACUUGAUUUUCUGUAUUAACACAGUAGCCUUUGGGCCAGCUGCUGAUGUUUGGGAAUUGUCUUUUUAAAUAAGAGCUUUUGUUCAUGAUCUUCGCCCUCAGCACAGACAAAGUAUAUACAAAUACACACAAAUUCUAUUAGAAUCCAGAGUUUAGACUACAAGCAAUCAGUUGUCUUAGCUGCACAACAAGAUUUAUGAGUCUUAGCUGCUCUUCUGGGUUAUUUUCAAAAUACAUGAAAAUACAUUCAACUUUUACCUUGUUUAUUUUAAUUGUUGCAGAAACAAACUGUAUUUGCUAAAUGCCUAUUGAAAUAUGCCUUACUGUAGUUUCCCUGAAUAGAGGACAAAAUCAAGAAGCUUACAGAAAAUGGGCAAAGCAAGUUUGCAGACCUGGAAGCCAUUCUGAUUGCUUCAUUGAUCAAAGUGCAAUUCCAUGUUAAUAAUUCAGGUUUAGUGUAUGAGGAAAAAAGCUGCAGAGUCUUCACAGCUGCUGGGUUUUGUCUUACACAUGUCCAUUAUUUACAGUAAAGUAACAGAAAAUCUACUACUACUAGUUCCCUCACUUUGUUUUUACUUAUACAAGAAGAUGCAAGCACAAACCAGGUUCAAAACAAGAAUUUAGACUCACUAAACUGGCAAGUAGUUUCAAAUGGACUUUUUUUAAUAAAUAAAGCAUUCAUAUACUUGGUAAGGACUAUAAAUUGUGGAUAGAACGUACAUUUAUACCACUUUGAACACAAAGUGCACAUGCUAUUGUAAUAAGUUGACUAAAUUUCAAUCUAUAAAGGACUUGUAACUUACAAGUUUUGAGGAGCAUUAAGUGGAGUCUAGAUAACUAAGUUUCUGAUGUUUAAAUGUGUGAUGACAAAUCC